AUUGAACGCUAGCGGGAUGCUUUACACAUGCAAGUCGAACGGAGUGGCGAACGGGUGAGUAAUGUAUCGGAACGUGCCCAGUAGCGGGGGAUAACUACGCGAAAGCGUAGCUAAUACCGCAUAAUAUUGGAUCGGCCGAUAUCGGAUUAGCUAGUUGGGGAGGAAACGGCUCACCAAGGAGACGAUCCGUAGCUGGUUUGCGAGGACGACCAGCCACACUGGGACUGAGACACGGCCCAGACUCCUACGGGAGGCAGCAGUGGGGAAUUUUGGACAAUGGGGGCAACCCUGAUCCAGCCAUCCCGCGUGUGCGAUGAAGGCCUUCGGGUUGUAAAGCACUUUUGGCAGGAAAGCGGUACCUGCAGAAUAAGCACCGGCUAACUACGUGCCAGCCGCCGCGGUAAUUC
rnacentral:rRNA from 1 species